AAUUAGUGGAGAGGGUCAACCAGACACUGAAAAGAAAAAUCGCUAAAGCGUGUGAAGGUACAAAACUAACAUGGGUAGAAGCACUGCCGUUAGCUCUUAUGUCCAUGCGCAGUUCCCCAGGAUCCGACAAACACUUGUCUCCUCAUGAGGUAUUGACUGGAAGAAAAAUGCCAGGCCCACCCAGGGAUGGAGGUCAUAUGCCAUCCCUGGAUGUGUGUAAACAAGAAUAUGAUGACUAUAUGAAGGCAUUGACCAGUCUUGUUUCAGUUUUAUCUGAACAGGUCGCCAGAGCACAGACCCGGGGAGAAGAGGAGCCCCGGAGCAGUGUCAAGUCUUUACAGUGAUGUGACCAUGGAAAGUGAUGUCUGCAGGACCCUGUCUCUCCUGUGUCCCAGAGUGCGAGCAACACGACCGCCUCCAGGAGUGGUCGCCUACCCUGGUAACUAUACUUGCAUCACACAAUCCAACAGCUCUACCAUAGAUGUGGGACACCUACCUGAGAAGUUUUGUAUGUACACCUACAACACAUCUUCGUUCGCUCCCAAUGUCACAAAGCCGAUGUUUAACAAUCAGAGUAAGGGACUUGGAACCCUAUGGCACUAGAUAUGUUGUUGGCAGAAAAAGGGGGUGUGUGCCACAUGUUUGGAGAUGCUUGUUGUACAUUUAUUCCCAGUGAUACUGCCCCGGAUGGUAGCAUCACUAGAGCCUUGGAGGGGUUGACCUCCCUAGCCAACGAGCUAGCAGAGAACUCGGGUGUGGCUGAAAACCCCAUCACCGGUUGGCUGGAGGAUGUUUUUGGUAAGAUACAAAGCAAUUGUGCUCUCCAUGCUGACAUAAGUCCGUGGCAGUGUUUCUGGGCAUAUUGGUGUGUUGUGGAUGCCGUUGCGUCCCUUGUUGUCGCACUCUGGUGAACAGAUGGAUUGAAGUGGCCCUGACCAAAAAAAAAAAAAGAAAAAGAUCCCCAGAAAGAUGCUCCUCCAGCGUACUCCAUGCCCCUGUUGGGGAUGGAGGAUGAUGAUGAGACCGAUUCGGAUAAUGAAGGAAGUGAAUCACCAAUGUAAUGCUAUGCUAUAUUAACCUUGCUUCUUUUUUCCCCUAGUGCGGCCAAUUGUUUACCAGUUUGAGGGCCAUAUAAUUCUAAGCUUAGUAGUAUUCACACCUGAGGUGUGAAAAGGGGGAUUUGUUAGAAAUA